UCUGGUUGGAGAUCCCUCCUUUGUGGAGUUCCUAUUGUAAGCCUAGAUCUUCAGAGAUGAUGGGUUGAAUGGAUCUCCAGUUGUCUCAAGGCAUUAUGGAUAUUCUCUACCCAAGCUCUUUGCUGAUCUGUUUGAUGUGUUUUGGAGUCUCCAGAAGUGAUGUUUCCCUGACUGGGCGGGAGGUUCAUAUGAUGCCCAAUGAGGAUGCUUGUGGUAUGGCUGAGGACUACAGCCCUGCUGAUCCUAACGAGGAACAACUUCUGUAGCUCAGGAGUGAAUGCUGGAGAGCUCCAUUGUUACUCAUGGGGACCCAUCAUCAGUGUCCCCACCAAAACAUGGCACCUGAGACACUGUGUUGUGUGGGAUCUGAGCAUCAUUCUGACUGUUUAGAUUUUGAUUCACCACUUCAGUCCAAACCUGUGUUUGUCACGUGGUGUCUUCAGCCAAAGCUCUACUGAGGGUCUUGGGUUUGAGGUGGGUGAACAUCUACUGAUCAGCUCUUACUGCCAUGGAGCAACUCUGACUGCUGUGGUCAUCUUCAGCAAUCUGGGAUCUAAACAACACAUAAAACCUCCCUGCCUGUUCUGGAGGUUAUUUUGGACCACACAAUUGAUUCUUCAGGGCUUUAUCAGACAGUGCUUGGCUACCAGUGUUCUUAGAGCUCUAUCUUUAUACUGGGAGUGUGUCACUGGCAAAAAAUGGCCUUUGGUGCUUACAGCGUCUCAACCCACAUCUGUAGCUUCAGCUGGAGAUGCUGAGAAUGGUUGUGUGAAUAGGGAAGAGAGGUAUGGAGUCUUUGUAGCAAGAGAAAUUGUCUGAUGUUUGGAUCUUUGAUGGGUCUUAAGUGCUAUGUGCUCACAGCUUUGUAUUUGGGUGAAUAUGUUCAACUGAAGUGCCCAGUGGGUGCAUGUGGGAACAGCAAGGGGGGAAUUACCUGGUUCUUGUUUGAUGCCUUGAAAAGGGCAGAUGUUCCACUUGGUAAUGUGGUUAAGUGGGAAUGAUGGU